rnacentral:rRNA from 1 species
GACGAACGCUGGCGGCGUGCUUAACACAUGCAAGUCGAACGAUGAAGCCUUAGCUUGCUUUGGUGGAUUAGUGGCGAACGGGUGAGUAACACGUGAGCAACGUGCCCAGGACUCUGGAAUAACCGCGGGAAACCGUGGCUAAUACCGGAUAGGUGCCGAGGCCGCAUGGUCUUCGGUUGGAAAGUUUUUGCGGUUCUGGAUCGGCUCACGGCCUAUCAGCUUGUUGGUGGGGUAAUGGCCUACCAAGGCGACGACGGGUAGCCGGCCUGAGAGGGUGACCGGCCACACUGGGACUGAGACACGGCCCAGACUCCUACGGGAGGCAGCAGUGGGGAAUAUUGCACAAUGGGCGCAAGCCUGAUGCAGCGACGCCGCGUGGGGGAUGACGGCCUUCGGGUUGUAAACCUCUUUUAGUAGGGAAGAAGCGCAAGUGACGGUACCUGCAGAAAAAGCACCGGCUAACUACGUG